UCUUGAAAUACAAAAAAUAUUUUAGUUUUGUUCACUUAAAAUGCCUUCGGGUUCCUAUGUCCUUUGUUUAGUAUGCAAUAAGUACUCAGAUGUACAGAUCAGAAACUAGGGAAUCCUUCUUGCUUUCUCCAUUUCUUCCCCCCUUUCUUUCCCUUAACCUGGCAUGAGAAAAUCUCCACCAGUUUCAUACUCAACUGUAUCUUUUAGUUUCAUUGUCUGUCAUUAGCACAGCUCCUCUUUCAGCUCUCUGUUUUAUGGCAGUGGCCAUCAUCACAUCAUCAAAUGGUUUUGAUUGUUAUUUUAAUGUAAAUUUGGCCUUACAAUUCUCAGUGAAGAUUUUUGUUUAUUUGUUUUUGUUUUUUUUUUUAAAUUUUAUGCACUGUAGAUGUGUCUUUUUCUAAAGUAGUUAACUAUUCUCACAUGGCUCUACGUUAAUCCCCAGGACACAUACACAUACAUACACAUACACAGAGAGAGAGAGAGAGAGAGAGAGAGAGAGAGAGAGAGAGAGAGAGAGAGACAGACAGAGACAGAGAGAAACAGAGGGAGAGAGAGAAAGAUGGAGAGAGAACAAAAAACAAGGACCAUGAAAUUUCAUGGUCUUUAGAUGGAGACUACAUUUUUAAUUGCCUUUCUAGGCAUUGCUGGUUCAUAUCCUGACUACAUCCUCCUUCAGCUUCUUUGUACCUACCCUCUUAAUUCUAAGGACAAUAGUUUUAUUUAAUCAAUUAUGCCUAAGUGCAUUGAUUCCCAUAUUAUUUUUGUAGUUGUAUGCACAGUCUUGCUUUAAAUGACUGCUUCCCCUUGGAAUGUACACAUCUUGAGUGUGUAGGUUAGCACCUUAAACAUUUUGAUGUUUUACUGUAUGCAAUCUCUUGCAGAACACAUAAUUGAGCAUAACACAUAACAGCUGAGGGGAUGACCUAGUCUAUUAAUAAGAGAGAAUGGAUCAUUCUGCAUAUGACUUAGCAUACUGUGUUAACAUAUCCCACUGAAUUCAUAUAUUCUUAACAUAAUUUCUGUUGCUAUUGACACUAAACAAAGACUGUGAAAAGAUACAGAAUUCUAUCUACCAGGAAAACUGAUGGACAAAAUGUUCAAUUUCUUCUUGCUUUUCUGCUUCUAAUUUUACAACCAGGGAAGACUCAGAGUUGGACAUCACAUCUCUAGGCAUGCCUGCCUUGUGAUGCUAAAUCAAAAAUUUUCAAUGUUGUGUAAAAGGAGUCUUAUUAUUUUCAUAUACUAUAUCUCAUGGGAUAUUCACAAGAAAAUUAUGGCGGGUAUAAGGAAGACUUUUAUUUGCUUAUUCUUAAGGAUAGUAAAUUAUGUCAUUUAAAAUCAUGGUGGAAUUUGCAAGAUACUCACAAGUACAUAUUAGUGUACAGCAAAAUGCUAGCACGAGAAUUUGUGUAGUUUCCACUUACAUCACUUGAGCCACUUGUCUUUUCUUCUCUACAUCCCUGAAGGAGCAAUGAAUUUCCUUGUAAUAAAUGAUGGGGCCACGCCCAAUAGAGAUGCUUCAGGUUUGCCCUGAGAUCCAACAACCAGAUACACAUGGUCUCCAAUUCGGAUGACAUUAUCACUAAUGCGGGAAAGGCAUUUUAUCAUGCUUCAUCCAAAGCCCAUGGAAUAUGUAAUAUAAUCAUAAGGAUAGAAUUAAUUAGGCCUCCAAUUAGAACAGAAAUGUUGGGGAAUGUGUUAGUGUUUGAGCCAGGAGGCUGAGCUGAGAGCAGAAGGAUUCUCAACUGUUCCAAAAGAGCUUAUCUGCAACCAACACUUUGCAAAUUGGUUUUCUUUGCUUUUAUGCCAACUUUUUGCAGUCACAGUGGGAAAUUCCAGAAGCUAUCCUCCAUAUCUGAGUACCAUAUUUUCCAAAUUCUCUAUAUGAUUCAUACACAUAACUAAUAGCUCAAAGUUGACAGAGUACAACCUGGAUUCAAUUGUGAGGUGCUAAUAUUAUUAUACUCUUUCUAGGUGGCUUAAAGAUUAUGUGACUUUCACCAGAAGCUGGUUGCUCCCUCUAAACCAGAAGGAGGGGGUUAUGUGAUAUCCAUUAUCAUCUUGCUUUUGGAGAGGAAAGUUACACCUAACACCCCACACAUUUCAGUUGCAUCUAAGAAUAGCAAGACAUUGUCUGACAACACUGAAUUCUGGGCCUGUGGUCUGUCAUUUUGACAUUUACAUUGAAGAUAAUACCUAACCCCACAUUCUGUAUAGAAUGUUUAAAGUUGCCUCUUGUUUGUUCUUUAAACUUGUCAGGGAUUAGAAAGAAAG
rnacentral:lncRNA from 1 species